UACGUAGGGUGCGAGCGUUAAUCGGAUUUACUGGGCGUAAAGCGUGCGCAGGCGGCCCGUUAAGACAGGUGUGAAAUCCCUGGGCUCAACCUAGGAAUUGCGCUUGUGACUGGCGGGCUCGAGUACGGUAGAGGGGGGUGGAAUUCCUGGUGUAGCAGUGAAAUGCGUAGAGAUCAGGAGGAACACCGAUGGCGAAGGCGGCCCCCUGGAUAAAGACUGACGCUCAGGCACGAAAGCGUGGGGAGCAAACAGG
rnacentral:rRNA from 1 species